CACAGUAUGUUGUUUUUCAUAGACAACCAUCAUUUUCCACUUACAGUAAAUGGAAAUAAUUAUUUUCUUGCAUAUUUGAGUUUUGAUUUUGCAUUUAGUUUAGAAGAAAUAAAAUGCUGGUAAAACAAUAUCAAAUGUAUAAUUUAUUGCAUAUAAGCACACAAAGUAUCAAACUAAGCACAGGUCUAAACACGAUUUAGUAAUCAAAUCAUAGUCCUUAGAAGUCGUAGAAAUAAACAAUCUAUAAGUAGUUUAAAAAUGUAUGUAUAUAUAUAAUACACAUAUAAACAAAAGGAAGUUAAAUAAUGACUAAUUGUAGUAGUGAUUCUUUAGGAUUGGG
rnacentral:lncRNA from 1 species